GUCCGUUUGAAGGUAUAAAUGGUCUGGCCUGCUCACUGAUAAAAUUAUUUAAGAGCCGCGGUAUAUUGACCGUGCAAAGGUAGCAUAAUCAUUAGGGGUUUAAUUGGAACCUGGUAUGAAGGGUUGGACAAAGGAAAGACUGUCUUUAUAGUAAGAAUUGAAAUUUACUUUUAAGUGAAAAGGCUUAAGUGAGUCAAAGGGACGAUAAGACCCUAUAAAGCUUUAUAAAUUAUUUAAAUUUAGUUGAUUUAAAAAUUAAAAAUUGAAUUUAAUUAUUUUAUUUUGUUGGGGUGAUGUGAACACAAUUGUUAUUAACUGUUUAGGAAUAACACUUUUAUAAAAGAAUUAAAGGAAUAUGGUCCUUUUUAAAGAUUAGAAGACUAAGUUACUUUAGGGAUAACAGCGUUAUUUCUUUUGAGAGUUCAUAUCGAAAAAGAAGAUUGCGACCUCGAUGUUGAAUUAAAAUAUCUAUAUAAUGCAGUCGUUAUAAAAGAAGGUCUGUUCGACCUUUAAAUUUUU
rnacentral:rRNA from 1 species